rnacentral:lncRNA from 1 species
UUGAUCUUUCUGUUCCUGUUUAAUAAGAUGGUGAGUCAUUUGAGGGCUUACAUGCAUGUUUUUGAGUUCCAGGACAGCCAGGGCUACACAGAGAAACCCUAUCUCGAAAAACAAAAAACAAAAACAAAAACAAAAAAAAGAGUAAUUAAGUUUUUCUUUCUUUCUUUUUUUUUUUAAAAAAAAAAACUGGAUAUUUUCUUUAUUUACAUUUCAAAUGUUAUCCCCUUUCCAGUUUCCCUCUCUACUGGAAACCCCCUAUCACAUCCUCCCCCCCUGCUUCUAUGAGGGUGUUCCUCCACACACCCACCCACUCCCAUCUCCCCACUCUUGAUUCCCCUACACUGGGGCAUCUAUUGGGCAUUCAUUGGACCAAGGUCCUCUCCUUCCAUUGAUGCCUGACAAGGCCAUCCUCUGCUACAUAUGCAGCUGGAACUAUGUGUACUCCUUUGUUGAUGGCUUAGUCUCUGGGAGUCCUGGGGGGUCUGGUUGGUUGAUAUUGUUGUUCUUCCUAUGGGGUUACAAACCCCUUCAGCUCCUUCAGUCCACUCUCUAACUCCUCUAUUAAGGACACUCAGUCAAGUGGUUGGCUGCUAACAUCUACCUCUGUAUUUGUAAGGCUCUGGCAGGGCCUCUCAGGAGAUAGCCAUAUCAGGCUCCUUUCAGCAUGCACUUCUUGGCAUCCACAAUAGUGUCUGAGUUUGGUAACUGUAAAUGGUAUGAGUCAGUAAUUAAGGUUUUAUUCCCCCCCCCCCCCAGAUUUUGUCUCAGGAGUUCCAAGAGCAGCAAGGACUUUGGGAAUGGUAAGAUGAAAAAGGGUGUUUUUAAACCUAUGGGGGAGAAUGGGCUGGGGAGAUGGUCAGAAGAUAUCUCAAAAGCAUGAGGUCUGCUAUUUGGAUUCCGGGUGGGCAUCUGAAAGGAGGCCCAUCACGCUGUAACCCUGGUGCUGUGUAGAGACAGGUGGACCCCUGCUGCUCACCAGCCAGUCACCAUACAAAUGAACGACUGCCUCAAAAAGGGAUGAAGACACUCAACUUUGACACAUGUACAAGCACCCUUCCCCUCCCCCCAUGCCCAUAUCUCCACAAACAUAUUCAUAUGCCACCCCCAUCUGUAGAUAUCAUUAAUUUUAAAUAUUUCUCUUUUUUUUGCACAGGUUUAUAUUUAUGAUGGGAAAAAUAUGUCCUCUUUACACAAUUUUACUGGUGAACAGGUAUGGUAUUAAAAUUCACACCCCGUUAUGAAAAUUCACUGAGGAGAGUGUAGAAAGUGAAAAUACAGAAGUCAUCUGCAGAGUAGCCUGACACACACUGCAGAAGGCCCCUCUUGCUGCUGCUGUUCAAGUCUGCAUGACAGAUUCCAUUUCCAGUGUGUUAUCUUGUGUCAGUCAGUGUUUUGUGGAAAUAGUUUAAUAGGUCCAUACAUACAAAGCUAUAAAUAGAAUUAUGACAGGCUUUGGGGUUUUUGUUUGUUUUUUGUUUUUCUGAGACAAGGUUUCUCUGGAUAGUCCUGGCACUCACUAUGUAGACUAGGCUGACCUCAAACUCAGAUCUACCUGCCCUCUGCUUUCACUGCUCACCUGGUUUCAGAUAUUUUACCUUUGUUUUUAUUUUUAUUUUUUUUUGAAGGCAGGUGCUGCAUUUAUUGUAGCUCAACCUUUGUUUUUAAACAGAAUAUCAUGGUUUAGCAAAUCCUUUUGUCUCCGUAUAAUAUAGCUUGUUUUUGUUUGCUGCUUUUUAAAAAAUAAAACUUAUACAAAAGCAUAAAAUUUCCUUGAUAUCAUCAAUGUUUCCUUAAAGAAUUAUCCAAUUGGGGCCGGGGAGAAUUACCCAUGAAGCCUUUAAUUCUAGCACUAGGGAGGCAGAGCCAGGUGGUUCUGUGAGUUUGAGGCCAGCCUGAUCUGCAGAGUGAGUUCUAGGACAGCCAGGGCUACCCAGAGAAACCCUGUCUUGAAAACCCCAUAAUC